GUGCUUGCUUUGGCAGCAUAUGUGCUAAAAUUGGAACAAUACAGAAAAGAUUAGCAUGGCCCCUGUGCAAGGAUGACAUGCAAAUUUUGAAGAACUUUUAUCAUUGA
rnacentral:snRNA from 1 species